rnacentral:rRNA from 1 species
GACGAACGCUGGCGGCGUGCUUAACACAUGCAAGUCGAACGGAAAGGCCCUGCUUGCAGGGUACUCGAGUGGCGAACGGGUGAGUAACACGUGGGUGAUCUGCCCUGCACUUCGGGAUAAGCCUGGGAAACUGGGUCUAAUACCGGAUAGGAGCCAUUUUUAGUGUGAUGGUUGGAAAGUUUUUUCGGUGUAGGAUGAGCUCGCGGCCUAUCAGCUUGUUGGUGGGGUAAUGGCCUACCAAGGCGGCGACGGGUAGCCGGCCUGAGAGGGUGGACGGCCACAUUGGGACUGAGAUACGGCCCAGACUCCUACGGGAGGCAGCAGUGGGGAAUAUUGCACAAUGGGCGCAAGCCUGAUGCAGCGACGCCGCGUGGGGGAUGACGGCCUUCGGGUUGUAAACUCCUUUCGCUAGGGACGAAGCUUUCUGUGACGGUACCUAGAUAAGAAGCACCGGCUAACUACGUG